UUUAUUUCCUUCCAAUUCUCCAUCUUCCCUGCUUUCUCCAUCUCUCUCUCUCUGUUUUGUUUUUAUUUUUUCAGUUGUGGAAGGGAUUUUGACGCAUAUAAGGUCUUAAUCGAGAGAUUGGUGGAGAAUGUUUCUUCUUCACUACCUUAAAAAGGGAAUUCUUGAGGAUAGAUAGAGGUUUCAAAACUAUCAUUGGUGCUAUUAACUUCAAGAAAGAACAGCGUAACAAUUCCAGAAUAUUUCAAGAGUGAUUGUUGCUAUUCUAACCCUUUGGUUCGAUUCAAAGCUUGAAGCAGUUCUUGAUUCCUUUGGUGGUGGAACAACACAAGUUGUCCUGUUAGGUGCAGGUUGGAUAUCAUGGUGUUGAUGAUUCAAAAGCUCCGAGUAAAAAGAGAAAGUACAAAAAACUGCAGGUGGACAACUUAAAGUAGCCAACACAUUUCAACAGCAUUUUAACUCUUUGGAUGCUCCUAUUAGGUAUUUCUGUAGCAUGAAUAUGCGUAAGGAUGUCACGAAAAAUUAUUAUCCACUUGCUCAUUUACCAAAAAACUGUACAACGAGGUCCAUCACUAAUACAUUUACAGAUAAGGCAUCACAUGAGGUUACCCCAGAAGAUGAUGUAGACAUGAGUGGUAAUGAAAACCAAAGAACACAUGUGGAAGAUACGAGUCUAUUGCAACAAAAUGUUACAUCUUCUAAAGAAGAGACUCAACAAGUCGAAAAAAAGAACAGAGGCCCUACCCAAAUGAAGAAUUUGAAUGAAGUCAUUGCUCCAAUUGAAGUAAAAUUUAAUGAAAUGGGACAAUCGCUAUUUGUCACUUUAUCUUCCUUUCUGGCCCGUCUUGUGAGGGAGACUGCACCGUAUACCCUUGUUGACAGCGAUACCUUUCAGAUGAUAUGAAACUUGUUAUGUGGAAAGAUAUUCAGCAAAGGUUCAAAGUAGAUGAAGAAAUAGAAUGGCAAAAAGACUACAUUUUUAAAGAAAUGGGUGGUCUCUGGAGAGCGUCAAAGUCUCGACUUGUGAAAAAGAUUAGAGAAGCACCAAAUGAAGCUGAAAGAAUAAAACUCAAACCUGAUAACAUACUUAAAUCCCAACAAUGGAAGAAGUUUGUGAAGGAAAAGACGAAUGCAAAAUUUAUGAAGAGCAUCAAUCCAUCUUCUAUAGGUUGUAAGGAGGAUUGGGCAGCAGCACAUAUAAAAAAGAAUGGUGAACCUAUAUGCAAACUUGUUGAAGAGGUGCUUGAAAAAAUUGAAAGAUGCGAGUUCGCAUGCCUUUAACGCUUACAUAAAAGAAGAUGCUCUUUCUAAAGUACUUGGUCCAGAGAAUAGUGGAUGAUUACGAGGGAUUGGAGGUGGAGUUUUCUAUACAAAGUAUUCCAUAUUAACUCAAAGGGAGUUUACUGUGGCUCAUUUAAAGGAAGAACAAAAUCAUCUAAAGGUUCAAGUGGCAGAUAUGGAGAAAACAAUCAAUGACUUAUUGAAAAAAAUAGUUUCAGGAAAAGCAAAGUGAAAAAUUAUCUAACAUUCAACCAUCUUCAUCGGUAAAAUUUAUCAUUCCUUUUAAUUGACAAUAUAUAUUUAUUUUUAAAAUUGAGAUCAUUCUAAUUUUAUUUUGUU